GUGCACAUGCAUGGAAUGAAUGCCCUGCCUAGAGUGUGGCCUUUUCAAGAGAAAAGGCAGGUGAUGGUAUAAAAAAUACGAGAGGUUUUUUUUUGUUGUUGUUUUGUUUUGUUUUUAAAAAGGGGGUCUCUGCCUUGCCCGCCCCUGUCUCUCUGUCUCUCCGCCUUCCCUCCUCCCCAUGCCCUAUGUUCAAAUUUUUCUCAGUUGUUACAUGUGUGUGGUUUUGAAGGUGGAUCUUUGGAGAGGGAGAGGGUCCUUCGGAGAACAGAGCAUGGAAGAUACAUCCGCAUUGCUGGGGGCCAACAGGGCUUUGCUCCACCGUCGGGGCUAAAGCCCACGGUACCUGUUGGGAGGAUGCAGGGCUGUAGCCUCUCAGGGCAGACAUAGGACGUAUGCAUUGCUAAACAUGAGUACUUGUCCAAAUCUGUCGGAAGGCAGAGGCAGUCUAGGAUUUGGGGCGCGAAGUGCCACCUGACAGAAUGGGGAUGAGCGGUGGCCCGCAGUGGUUUAGUCAGGAUGCGAAUGUUUCGCCUCCUUCUCUUCUUGAGUGUACCUCCAGAUACAUGCACCUGCAAGAGUGCGCCUUUCCCCCCGCCCCCCUGUCGCCUCUGUUUCACUGUAUCCCUUCUUCUCUUUCCCAUUGUCCUGCCUUUUUAGUACUCAGAUUUUUUUAAAAAUAAAUAUUUACUUUUUUAUGAUAUAUUUGGUCCCUUGGGACUAUGUUAUGAUUCAGAAUUAAUUUCCUUCUAGGUAAAAACAAACAAAAAAACAAAAAAACAAACAAAAAAAAAACCAGAUGUGUUUAAUAUGUUUGUUCUUUUAAACUGUCUUUCGAAGCUAUGCUGCUAACCAGCUACAGGCCAGAAGGGAGUUGGGCCAGAUAGACCGCACCCUGGUCAUGUCACUUGAGGAUGACAUGGAUGUUUUGAUGGUAACUCUUCUUCAUUUGACCAAGGCCAGUCUCCUGCUCUGACCUCUGUCCAUUCAUUUCUGGCUGUGGGGAGACUCCUACCUGUGGGUGAGCCAGUGAGGCCAAGAGGAUCAGAGCGGCCGGGUUCCAGCCCGUGGGCCACUCUAUUCAUCUCUCUGUAAUAAGCUCAUGUGUAGCCAAAGAAAACCUGUCUGACUCGAUAUCUUCCUUGGUGCUGAGCUGUUCAGAGCAAUUAUUUCUCUGAGUGUUGCCAACCCGUUAGUCAUGCUUUCUUAGCUUUAUUCUAACUUUUGGAGAUGUCGGUCCCUGUUCAUAGGCACAGCCUGUACCAAAGCUGUACCAGCCUGUACCACUGCAUACUUCAUUCUGCUCCCUGGUCAAGCAUAGCAGCGUAGUCUCAAAAGGAAGAUGUGGGCUGGGGAGUUAGGAGACCUGGUUCCUAUUCCCUAUGCUUCUACUAUACUAGCCUCGAGAUCUUUAACCGCUCUGUGCCUCAGUGUUCCCAUCUGCAAAAUGGGGAUAGUGUUAAUUGCCCUACCUACCUCACAGGGUUGUUGUGAGGAUAAACUGAGACCACGAAAGGAAAGUACUUUGACAAGUGCUAUGCAACUUACAAGAAAGGGAAACAAUCACGUUCAAGGCAAUGGGAUGGACAUUGGCAGAAGGGUUAAUGGGACUGUCCAGCCCUUUCUCUGUGUGGCUUAAACCCAGGUUGCCAUUGCUUUAUACAUUUUUUCACUUAGCACAGAUUUGUAAUUAUGCAUGUAAUAAAGCACAGCCUUAUCCG
rnacentral:lncRNA from 1 species